rnacentral:rRNA from 1 species
GAUGAACGCUGGCGGCGUGCCUAAUACAUGCAAGUCGAGCGAACAGACGAGGAGCUUGCUCCUCUGACGUUAGCGGCGGACGGGUGAGUAGCACGUGGAUAACCUACCUAUAAGACUGGGAUAACUUCGGGAAACCGGAGCUAAUACCGGAUAAUAUAUUGAACCGCAUGGUUCAAUAGUGAAAGACGGUUUUGCUGUCACUUAUAGAUGGAUCCGCGCCGCAUUAGCUAGUUGGUAAGGUAACGGCUUACCAAGGCAACGAUGCGUAGCCGACCUGAGAGGGUGAUCGGCCACACUGGAGCUGAGACACGGUCCAGACUCCUACGGGAGGCAGCAGUAGGGAAUCUUCCGCAAUGGGCGAAAGCCUGACGGAGCAACGCCGCGUGAGUGAUGAAGGUCUUCGGAUCGUAAAACUCUGUUAUUAGGGAAGAACAAAUGUGUAAGUAACUAUGCACGUCUUGACGGUACCUAAUCAGAAAGCCACGGCUAACUACGUG